UAUUUGGCUUGCUUACAAAUGAUCCAAUCACCCCUAUUUAUACUAGUGGCACCUCCUUAACCAAUGGUUAGGAUCUUGCCACCACAACAUUAAUCUAAGGGUCAUUAUUCAUCUUCUAGAGUUUUCUAAAACAUUCUUAUAAUUCUAAACUUAUCUAGAUAAAUCUAAUGGAUAAGCAUCCCUAGAUAUUUUUAUACAUCAUUCUAGAAUCC
rnacentral:lncRNA from 1 species